rnacentral:tRNA from 1 species
GCUCUCAUCGUCCAAUGGAUAGGACGCAAGAUUCCGGAUCUUGUAAUGUAGGUUCGAAUCCUGCUGAGGACA